GGCGGCGUGCCUAAUACAUGCAAGUCGAGCGAACAGAUAAGGAGCUUGCUCCUUUGACGUUAGCGGCGGACGGGUGAGUAACACGUGGGUAACCUACCUAUAAGACUGGGAUAACUUCGGGAAACCGGAGCUAAUACCGGAUAACAUUUGGAACCGCAUGGUUCUAAAGUGAAAGAUGGUUUUGCUAUCACUUAUAGAUGGACCCGCGCCGUAUUAGCUAGUUGGUAAGGUAACGGCUUACCAAGGCGACGAUACGUAGCCGACCUGAGAGGGUGAUCGGCCACACUGGAACUGAGACACGGUCCAGACUCCUACGGGAGGCAGCAGUAGGGAAUCUUCCGCAAUGGGCGAAAGCCUGACGGAGCAACGCCGCGUGAGUGAUGAAGGGUUUCGGCUCGUAAAACUCUGUUAUUAGGGAAGAACAAACGUGUAAGUAACUGUGCACGUCUUGACGGUACCUAAUCAGAAAGCCACGGCUAACUACGUGCCAGCAGCCGCGGUAAUACGUAGGUGGCAAGCGUUAUCCGGAAUUAUUGGGCGUAAAGCGCGCGUAGGCGGUUUCUUAAGUCUGAUGUGAAAGCCCACGGCUCAACCGUGGAGGGUCAUUGGAAACUGGGAAACUUGAGUGCAGAAGAGGAAAGUGGAAUUCCAUGUGUAGCGGUGAAAUGCGCAGAGAUAUGGAGGAACACCAGUGGCGAAGGCGACUUUCUGGUCUGUAACUGACGCUGAUGUGCGAAAGCGUGGGGAUCAAACAGGAUUAGAUACCCUGGUAGUCCACGCCGUAAACGAUGAGUGCUAAGUGUUAGGGGGUUUCCGCCCCUUAGUGCUGCAGCUAACGCAUUAAGCACUCCGCCUGGGGAGUACGACCGCAAGGUUGAAACUCAAAGGAAUUGACGGGGACCCGCACCCGCGGUGGAGCAUGUGGUUUAAUUCGAAGCAACGCGAAGAACCUUACCAAAUCUUGACAUCCUUUGAAAACUCUAGAGAUAGAGCCUUCCCCUUCGGGGGACAAAGUGACAGGUGGUGCAUGGUUGUCGUCAGCUCGUGUCGUGAGAUGUUGGGUUAAGUCCCGCAACGAGCGCAACCCUUAAGCUUAGUUGCCAUCAUUAAGUUGGGCACUCUAGGUUGACUGCCGGUGACAAACCGGAGGAAGGUGGGGAUGACGUCAAAUCAUCAUGCCCCUUAUGAUUUGGGCUACACACGUGCUACAAUGGACAAUACAAAGGGCAGCUAAACCGCGAGGUCAUGCAAAUCCCAUAAAGUUGUUCUCAGUUCGGAUUGUAUUCUGCAACUCGACUACAUGAAGCUGGAAUCGCUAGUAAUCGUAGAUCAGCAUGCUACGGUGAAUACGUUCCCGGGUCUUGUACACACCGCCCGUCACACCACGAGAGUUUGUAACACCCGAAGCCGGUGGAGUAACCAUUUAUGGAGC
rnacentral:rRNA from 1 species